rnacentral:rRNA from 1 species
AACGCGAAGAACCUUACCCAGGUUUGACAUGCAGAUGACCGCUCUAGAAAUAGGGCUUUCCUUCGGGACAUCUGCACAGGUGCUGCAUGGCUGUCGUCAGCUCGUGCCGUGAGGUGUUGGGUUAAGUCCCGCAACGAGCGCAACCCUUAUCAUUAGUUGCCAACAUUUAAGGUGGGAACUCUAAUGAGACUGCCUGGGUUAACCAGGAGGAAGGUGAGGAUGAUGUCAAGUCCGCAUGGCCCUUAUAUCUGGGGCUACACACGUGCUACAAUGGUCGGUACAGAAGGCAGCGAACCCGCAAGGCGAAGCAAAUCCCCAAAACCGAUCCCAGUUCAGAUUGUAGUCUGCAACUCGACUACAUGAAGACGGAAUUGCUAGUAAUGACGAGUCAGCAACAUCGUCGUGAAUACGUUCCCGGGUCUUGUACACACCG